CCCUUAGAUGUUCUGGGCCGCACGCGUGCUACACUGAGUGGAUCAGCGGGUCAGGUUGCGCGAAAGUGUUUCCUAAUCUUUAAAUCCGCUCGUGAUGGGGAUUGACGGUUGCAAUUUUCCGUCAUGAACGAGGAAUACCUUGUAAGCGCGGGUCAUCAUCCCGCGCUGAAUACGUCCCUGCCCUUUGUACACACCGCCCGUCGCUCCUACCGAUUGAGUGGUCCGGUGAGGCUUUGGGAUCUGGGCGGAAAGAGCGUUUCGCUGUUUCUGCCCGGAAAACUCAGUCGAACCUUAUCAUUUAGAGGAAGGAGAAGUCGUAACAA
rnacentral:rRNA from 1 species